ensembl:lincRNA
GGCCCUGCCACCACCUCAUUGUGCCAUUCCACCCAGGAAGGAAUGACCCACUGCCAGGGUCAAACUACCAACUCCUAGUUGGCUCUACACCUUGGCUUUGCUCAGCACAGAAUAGCAGAUGACAGCCAAGUGACUGACCUUACUGAGGACAACCUCUGCCCUGGAGAAGAGUUUCACUUCAGGACAGAAGUGUUACCUGGGCCUGGAGCCAAGUCCCUACUGUGCCUUCCACCUACCCUCAGCUCACUGCCCAGCUCGCACAGCACCCUGGAUGAGCAUCCCUCAUGGCCACUCUGAGAACAACCUCUUGGUGACUACAGGACAGGGUGAAGCACAAUGGCCGGAGAGGCCCUGGAGUAUUUCAUCAGUUCAUUCAACAACUCUUUACUGGCCUCCUUCAUCAGGGUCUAUACCUGGCAGCCAAAGACGAUUUCCCCCAGAGGAAAAGAAGAAAUUAGAGCUGCUCCUCAUCUUUGCCUGUCAGCUCCCCUGUGACACCCAGCUCCCCAGCUGGCCUCGACCCGUCCUUUCUUUCCAUACUGCUCAGGCCUCAUCCACUUUUCCCUGCUCACCACCAAGACUCUGCCCAGCCUCCGCCUCUCCUGGGUCAUCCCCACACUGUGGCCCUCCUGAAAACCCAAAGCUGACGACAGCAUCGCCACCCAGCAGCAUCAGGGAACCAGGCAAGGCUGUGGUCAGCAGGGGGGCAUCACUGGGUCUCCAGCUGCUUCCAGACUCUCCCAGUUCCACAGGUGGGCAUUGCUUACCAGGCCCAAUUAAGAAAUGGAAACAGCUGUGGAUUUAGUUGUCACCUGAUUUAGCUACAUUAACUCGGAUCCAUCCUCCUUCCAUGCGACAUUUUGAUUUAUGCAAUACAGAAGUCACAGGCUGGGACCAUGGCACACUAGUGGCAACUCGGAGCCUUGCUCUUGCAAUGGAAAUGAAAGUGUUCUGUAAACUGGAAGGUGCAACAUGAAAUAAAGUAUUAUACAACCGACC